rnacentral:lncRNA from 1 species
UGGAACCGGCAAAUGUAGAAAUCAUCGCCAAAAAUCUGUCUAAAUUGGUCCAGCGGUUUAACCAAAGGGUUCCUUGGAGUAAAGACCACACUCAUGUUAACCAAAGCCUUGAUCCGAUCCGGUCGAAACAAACACAUGUACCAUGAGAUUAUGGCACCCCAAUCAUGACCCACCAAGUAAACCUUGUCCAAACCCAAAGAGUCAAGCAAGCACACCAAGUCUCCAACUAUGUGGAACGCGGUGUAGCUAGUGGCGGAAGGUGGCGCUUCUGUGUCACCGAACCCACGAAGGUCUGGUGCGAUGGCACGGUAGCCUUUGGAGGCUAUAAACAACAUCUGGUGACGCCAUGUGUACCAUAGUUCGGGGAAGCCGUGGACGAAAAGCACGCCGUGGACGAAAAGCACCGCGGGGCCUUCCCCGAUCUCGGCUACGUGCAUAUUGAUGCCAUUUACUUUGAUGUUGUUAUGUUGUAUUUUCUCCAUGUUUGUUUUGGUGUUGUUUGGAGUUUAUAAGGUGAACAUUGGGUUUUUGUUUGUGGGAUGGAAAAGGGUGUGG